AGGCCGGCCACUUCCUUUCCCUGCAGCGCCCGGGAGCGUGAGCAGCGCGGGCGGCAUGGCGGGCAGCGGAGGCCCCGGGCGGCGGAACCCGGCCUGCCCUCGGGCUCAUCCAGGUGCAACAGCUGUCUCUUUUGAAGGUCCUUGACAACUGUUUUCUGAAAACUUGUCAUGGAAAGUGAUUGAACAAGUUACCAGGACCACAGUUGCCAGUAACAAGCAUGUAGGUGGCGGGAGAUGAAUGUCCAACUUGAGUAUCUGCGAUGUUUGAAAACACGUUGUUUUGUUGGGUGCAGUACAUUUUGGAAUGUAAAAUGAAGACUUGGUCAAGAAACUGUGAACAGAAGCAAAUGAUGAAAAUGAGUUAAACAAGUUAUAUAGAAAUAAACAAUUCUAAGUGC